UCUGUUGGAUACGCAGCCGCCCACCCGACGCCUCCUCUCCCUGAUCGAUCUCGCCGCCGGCACAGUCCCUCCCUCGCCGGCCACCCUCCACCGCUCCCCUAAAUCCUUACCGCAGCGCUGACCCGCCUCCUGGACAAAUACCCAACGGAAGAGGAUGGCUCGCGGGGAUCCUGGUGGCCAUGCUCGAUGGGCUCCUGGUUGUGGCUGCCGUCCAUGCUCGCGGGGCUCCUGCUGGUGGCCGUCCGAGCAACGGGGACAACUCUCGGCGCCGCUGGACGCCGGCAGGAACGGCAGGGGGAUCGACGGAGGAAGGCCGGCCUGGUGGUGGCCUGACCAAGACGCUGCAGCCGGCGACCUUCUCCCCACGCCGGCAACAUCCCUGGACCUGCUGCUCCCGAUGCCAUCCACCUCUCCCUGCCGCUGCUGCCUCCCAAGACGUGACUAUUUCUCAUUACUCAAUCUAGCUACUUCUUUACCUGGUAUGAUGCCAUAGCAGACUGCUCAUAUUAAUGAAGCUAAGUGCGCAAAUGCUGCUCACCGGAAAUGAUAGGAACGCGUGGACCGGCCGGACACGGAGAGGAGAAAAGUCGCCGUGGACUACUUGGUGUUGUCUGACCUGUGGGAGAACUUUGCUGAGAGUACUGCCUACGGCCUCGCCGUGCUUGUCCGCCUCCUCGGCCACAUCCUACCUCUCCGCCAUCCAGCUAUACACAGCCACCAGCCUCACCAUCUGCAGGAGGAGAAUGGGGAGCGAAAUGGAUUACUGGAGGGGUGUUGGCUGCGAGAGGUUUGCAGGGCCAGCAUACAACAUUGUCGUCUUGUCGUCCAAGCCUGAAUUUCCAGUACAUGGAGUGGGACUGACCUUACCCCUGUCUGUCUCGUAAGCUACCCGUGCCUGCGGUUUCUGGCCCAGCAUCGACAUCAGAAGUGGAUGCACCCCUGGAGCCAUCCUUCCAGUACUUGUCUGUCGCGCCGAUGUAGACCGCUGGUGAUCUCUCUUGGCAACGGAUGAUGGGCGCUGCUGGUGUCGCCAGAGAGAACACCGUCGUCUUCACGUCCUGCUGCUUGGCAUCAACUAUGGCUAUGAGUUGGCCAAUGAAUUUUUUGAUACAGAGGAAAUUCAGAGGUUAUGGGAUCUGAAACAGCUUGUGUCAUGUUGAACAAGUAUUCUUCUGCAGUUAUGGACGAGACAGACCUAGAGGGUGCACUUACUGGUUUUGUGGUUGUAGUUCCUAUGGAGCCUGGAAAGGCUGAGUGGUAAGCAUUAUAGCAUUUAAUUAUUCUGAUUCACCAUUCCGUUGUAUCUGCACAAACAUGCGCAGCAUUGAAGAGAUCGAUAUAUGUAGAUUCUUGUAGUUGCACAAACAUGUCAUGAUGCAGAAUGUGAAAAAUUGAUGUCCUGGAAUAUUUUCAUUUCCUAUGGGAAGAAGUAGCAAAAAAUGUGUUCUGUUAUGGCUUUGCUUCAGUAUUUUCUUUAGAGUGAAUGUCUGAUUGAUUUUUUGAAAAUGCUCUGGUGUGUUCCAUUAGCUUGUUGCAGCUGAUCUGAGGUAGAUCUCCAAAACAAUUAAUGUUGUGGAAGAUGAUAUUGCAUCCUUGCUUUGAACCUUUCAGAAACGCAUUAGUAGCUAUCUAUGAUGUCUAUGUUAGUUGGUUCAUGGUUGCUUAUUCUUGCACUCGAGAAGAGUUAUCGGAUCUAGCACAUGCCUUGACUAAAUACAUGCUCUUUUUGAUUGUGUGGUGGCCUGUAGAUGUCCUGUUGCUGCAGUCUGGUGUGUGGAUUAUGUUGAAACCAUCCUCUGAAUUUAUUGUUGCUAAAACUUGUCCGCUGACGAUCAUGUU